GAGCAAAAGGCCAACCCCAAGGGCCAGAGGUGGCUGGGAUGUUGGUGAUCCCAUAGGGAUGCGAGCUGUGCCCAUCCCUUCCUCAUUGCUCUUGCUUUGGCCACAGGGAUCGCAUAGUUGGAAGGAGCUGAGCUGCUUCUGCCUGCCCAGACCUGAGCCUGCAUGGGGAGGAGGGUCAGGGGGUGAUACAGACACCAGGAUGGGGCCCAUGGAGAGGCUUCCAUCCUCACCCCAUUGCUGUGGGGCUGCUCAGGUGUCCCAGCCCCGGUCACUUGAGGCCAUGCUGGCUCCUGUUCAAAGCUCUGGGUUCAUCCCAGUUCAGAUAUGGGUGUUGGGUUUUGGAGCUGGGGAGAGCAGGGCCUUGUGCUGCUGCUGCCUGGGAAGCAGAUCCCAGAGCCAAGGGUGAGCAGGAGCUGUGUGGGAGCUGGGAAUGCUGUGGUGUGCAGAGAGCAUCCCUAUGGGGUGUCUGAAGCUGCAUCGAGAUGGGGAGGUUUGCUGGUGGGAACCAGGUGGUUCCUGACCUCCAGCCCCUCUCCAAUGAGCAGGGCACAUCCAUUUCCAUUGCCCUCGGUUGCUGCUGGUUUGAAUGAUAAUUCCAUUGGAUUGAAUAAUAAUUCAAUUGACUUUAAUAAUAAUUCCAUUGGAUUGAAUGAUAAUUCAAUCGAAAUUAAUAAUAAUUCCAUUCCUGGGAAUGGAAUCAUUGAAUAAGCUUGGAAAGGACCUGGUGAUGCCACAAGCUGCGGAAUUACUGGGAACCCUGUUGGGGUAGAGAGUAGGAGGAUAGACCCUAUAGACCUAUAAGGAUCCUGCACAGCUCUGUGCCCAGAAUCUGAUUGAUGGCAGCAGAGAGAGCUCAGUGUGUGCCAUGGGUAUGGACUGGGAUGAAGCUGUGGUGGCUCCUCAAGGUUGAGCCCCAUCCUGCAUCUUCAGUGACAUGGGAUGGGUCAAUGGGGCUGUGUCAAGGGGAUGAGGGCAGAGCCUGGAGCAUCCCUGUCUGAUCCCAAUCCCUUCCCUGCCCAGAUUUCCCCCCGGGCGCUCUCCUGUGCUGUUGUGCUGCUCCUGCUCCUCACGGUGCUGAGCAGAGGCAAGAGGUGCAGCAUCACCAGGAUCCUCCGGCAGUACCGAGCUGUCAUCUUCCAUGAGAUCCAGAACCUGAGAGCCCUGAGUGGAUCAGUGGACAGGAGCAGAAGGGCCAGCCCUGCUUGCCGCUCGGAUCAGGACCAGAAGAUCCUGUUCUCCAUCUACAACAUCACCAUGUCCCUAUGGGAAGCGGCCUCCGGAUCCCUGCGUGGUCCCGAGGAGCUGGCACUAUGGAAGGUGGCCAGGAACACAGAAGUGGUGUUCAGGGAGAGCUGCAGGAGCCUCCGCAAGAGCCCACCACGCAUCCCAGCUCAGCCCCGGCGCAGGGGACGCGGCCUUAGGAGGAAGAUGCUGCGGGAGCUUGGGAGGAAGGCUCAGAGGCUGGUGACCUGCUGGGAGAAGCUCUAUGCCCUGCACACACCACACUGGGACUCAUAGGGAUGCUCUCACCAUGUGCUGGAGGGAUGCGCGGCUCCAGCAUCCGGUGGCUGGUUUGGAAACGUGGGGCACAUUCAAUGCUGAAGGCAGUGGAGAUGUUGAAUUCAUCCUCCUGUUUCAAGUGGUACCCAAGGACCGGCCCCGUUGCAUCCCUGGCAGGUUGGUUUGCUGCGGGAUGGCUGUGGUGGGAAGCUGGAACACCAGGAACAAGGGAAGAAGAAAGGGAAGUGCCAAAGAAAGGAUGUGAGGGGUUGGAUUUCUGUGAUGCUCCUGCCCCUGCAUCUCCUGUUGCUUUCUGGGGGACAGUGGUUGCUUUUGGGGCAGAAAGAGGAUGUGGGGCUGUUGCUGGAUGCGGGACCACUGUGUAUCCAUAAGGCUCUGAGGAUGGCCAGGCUAUGGAGUGGGUCUGGUGCCCGCAGUGGAUGGGGAAGCUGAGGUGCAUCCCAGUGCCCAUGGAUGAACAGCAAAACCCAUGGCAGAUGCAGGGGCUUGAAGAGGCUCAGCCCAUGGGCUGUGCAGCACUGGAGGACCCGGUUGCUCAGCACUGUGUGUGCCCUGGUACCCUGGGCUGAGCUGAGCCUGCAGGGAUGCAGUGUUUGAGCUCAGGAGCAUCCUCCCUUGUCACUGUGCUCUGGGUGCAUCCCUGCUCCCUUCUUGGGUGUCAAACACUGUCUGGGAAGCCAGAAAUAAAACCUGGAAGCCCUAUGGGGGUGUUGUGACC
rnacentral:lncRNA from 14 species